rnacentral:lncRNA from 1 species
AUGUCUGAGUGUGUGUGUGUGUCUGUCUCUGUGUGUCUGUGUGUUUGUGUAUGUGUCUCUGUGUCUGUGCCUCUGUGUGUGUGUGUGUCUAUGUGUAUGUCUCUGUAUGUGUGUGUGUGUCUGUGUCUCUGUGUGUCUGUGUCUCUGUGUGUCUCUGUCUGUGUGUAUAUAUCUGUAUGUCUAUGUGUGUGUGUGUCUGUGUCUCUGUGUGUCUGUGUCUGUGUGUCUGUGUGUUUGUGUAUGUGUCUCUGUGUCUGUGCCUCUGUGUGUGUGUGUGUCUAUGUGUAUGUCUCUGUAUGUGUGUCUCUGUGUGUGUGUCUGUGUGUAUAUAUCUGUAUGUCUGUGUGUGUGUGUGUGUGUGUGUGUGUCUGUAUCUGUGUGUCUGUGUGUCUGUGUAUUUUUGUCUGUGUCUCUGUGUGUCUGUGUAUGUGUGUCUGUGUGUCUGUGUAUGUCUGUCUGUCUGUCUGUCUAUGUGUAUAUCUGUGUGUGUCUGUGUCUCUGUGUGUGUCUGUCUAUGUGUAUGUCUGUGCGUGUGUGUGUGUGUGUGUGUGUGUGUGUGUGUGUGUGUCUGUAUCUGUGUGUCUGUGUGUUUUUGUCUGUGUCUCUGUGUGUCUGUUUAUGUGUGUCUGUCUGUGUGUCUGUGUAUGUCUGUCUAUGUGUAUAUCUGUGUGUAUGUGUUUGUGUCUCUCUGUGUCUGUGUGUCUAUUGUAUGUCUGUGUGUGUCUGUGUCUCUGUGUGUGUCUGUGUGUAUGUAUAUGUGUGUCUGUGUGUCUAUGUGUAUAUCUGUGUGUAUGUCUGUGUGUGUCUGUGUGUCUAUGUGUAUGUCUGUGUGUGUCUGUGUCUCUGUGUGUGUCUGUGUAUGUGUGUCUGUGUGUCUGUGUAUGUCUGUGUGUGUCUGUGUCUGUAUGUGUGUGUGUGUCUGUGUCUCUGUGUGUGUCUGUAUGUAUAUGUGUGUCUGUGUGUCUAUGUGUAUGUCUGUGUGUGUCUGUGUGUCUAUUGUAUGUCUGUGUGUAUCUGUGUCUCUGUGUGUGUCUGUGUGUAUGUGUAUGUGUAUGUGUGUCUGUGUGUCUAUGUGUAUAUUUGUGUGUCUGUGUCUGUGUCUCUGUGUGUCUGUCAAUGUGUAUGUCUGUGUGUGUGUAUGUGUGUGUCUGUGUCUCGGUGUGUGUCUGUGUGUAUGUAUAUGUGUGUCUGUGUGUCUAUGUGUAUAUUUGUGUGUGUGUGUCUGUGUCUCUGUGUGUCUGUCAAUGUGUAUGUCUGUGUGUGUGUAUGUGUGUGUCUGUGUCUCGGUGUGUGUCUGUGUGUAUGUAUAUGUGUGUCUGUGUGUCUAUGUAUAUGUCUGUGUGUGUCUGUGUGUGCCUGUGUCUCUGUGUGUGUCUAUGUGUAUCUGUGUGUGUGUGUCUGUCUGUCUGCCUAUGUGUAUCUGUGUGUGUCUGUGUCUCUGUGUGUGUCUAUGUGUAUCUGUGUGUGUGUGUGUCUGUGUGUCUGUGUGUGUCUGUGUAUGUAUAUGUGUGUCUGUGUGUGUCUGCAGGGAGGACACGGAGUGGGGUGGGUAAACAAGUGAGAACUGGUCUGAAAAGAAGGAGGAAGGCAUGGAGGACUACAGACAGCCAGUGA